CAGAACGGUUGAUUCGUCCCGGCUGAUGAGCGAGUGCGUAUACAUCGGAAACGGAAUUUGAGAUACAAAAUUCCGAAUGGCGGAGC
rnacentral:ncRNA from 1 species